UACGUAGGGUGCGAGCGUUGUCCGGAAUUAUUGGGCGUAAAGGGCUCGUAGGCGGUUUGUCGCGUCUGCUGUGAAAACCUAAGGCUCAACCUUGGGCUUGCAGUGGGUACGGGCAGACUAGAGUGCGGUAGGGGUGACUGGAAUUCCUGGUGUAGCGGUGGAAUGCGCAGAUAUCAGGAGGAACACCGAUGGCGAAGGCGGGUCUCUGGGCCGAUACUGACGCUGAGGAGCGAAAGCGUGGGGAGCGAACAGG
rnacentral:rRNA from 1 species